GAUGAACGCUGGCGGCGUGCCUAAUACAUGCAAGUCGAGCGAACAGACGAGGAGCUUGCUCCUCUGACGUUAUCGGCGGACGGGUGAGUAACACGUGGAUAACCUACCUAUAAGACUGGGAUAACUUCGGGAAACCGGAGCUAAUACCGGAUAAUAUAUUGAACCGCAUGGUUCAAUAGUGAAAGACGGUUUUGCUGUCACUUAUAGAUGGAUCCGCGCCGCAUUAGCUAGUUGGUAAGGUAACGGCUUGCCAAGGCGACGAUGCGUAGCCGACCUGAGAGGGUGAUCGGCCACACUGGAACUGAGACACGGUCCAGACGCCUACGGGAGGCAGCAGUAGGGAAUCUUCCGCAAUGGGCGAAAGCCUGACGGAGCAACGCCGCGUGAGGGAUGAAGGUCUUCGGAUCGUAAAACUCUGUUAUUAGGGAAGAAGAAAUGUGUAAGUAACUAUGCACGUCUUGACGGUACCUAAUCAGAAAGCCACGGCUAACUACGUG
rnacentral:rRNA from 1 species